AGUGAACGCUGGCGGUAGGCCUAACACAUGCCAGUCGAACGGCAGCACAGUAAGAGCUUGCUCUUACGGGUGGCGAGUGGCGGACGGGUGAGGAAUACAUCGGAAUCUACUUUUUCGUGGGGGAUAACGUAGGGAAACUUACGCUAAUACCGCAUACGGCCUACGGGUGAAAGCAGGGGAUCUUCGGACCUUGCGCGAUUGAAUGAGCCGAUGUCGGAUUAGCUAGUUGGCGGGGUAAAGGCCCACCAAGGCGACGAUCCGUAGCUGGUCUGAGAGGAUGAUCGGCCACACUGGAACUGAGACACGGUCCAGACUCCUACGGGAGGCAGCAGUGGGGAAUAUUGGACAAUGGGCGCAAGCCUGAUCCAGCCAUACCGCGUGGGUGAAGAAGGCCUUCGGGUUGUAAAGCCCUUUUGUUGGGAAAGAAAAGCAGCAGGUUAAUACCCCGCUGUUCUGACGGUACCCAAAGAAUAAGCACCGGCUAACUUCGUG
rnacentral:rRNA from 1 species